rnacentral:rRNA from 1 species
UACGAAGGGGGCUAGCGUUGCUCGGAAUUACUGGGCGUAAAGGGCGCGUAGGCGGCCCGCUAAGUCGAACGUGAAAUCCCCGGGCUCAACCCGGGAACUGCGUCCGAUACUGGCGGGCUUGAAUCCGGGAGAGGGAUGCGGAAUUCCAGGUGUAGCGGUGAAAUGCGUAGAUAUCUGGAGGAACACCGGUGGCGAAGGCGGCAUCCUGGACCGGUAUUGACGCUGAGGCGCGAAAGCCAGGGGAGCAAACGGG